rnacentral:lncRNA from 1 species
GGAGAAAUGGCUCUCCAUUUCUGGAAACCGGUCUGACCUUUGUUUUCAUUCCCUUGCUCUAGUUGAUAUCUUGUUGAAGAAGCAAAGAGUGGCUGCCUCUCUCUUCAAAAGCAGGCAUGUUUGGUUUAAAAAUAAAGAAUUUCAGCUGCGCUACAGAUUGCACAUAUUCUGAAAAUGUAGGAUUUGUGUGUGAAUAGUGGCUCUCUCUGCAGUUAUGGAUUGAGAAGCCCCUCCUUAGAUGGUUGACAAUGUAAACAAUAUACAUCUGAUUGAGAUGCAUCUGUGUAACGUCUGCUGCUAAACAGAAGUUAAUAGGGGCUGAUGAAAUAUGGUCUUGUGAGCUACAAUCCUCCCUAGAUGAGUUCUGCCAAAUGGCAAUUUGGAAAACUUGGUAUUUCACAUCGUCAGCACAAUGAAAUGCAGAGGGCUGCUGCUGCUGUUUACUACUCUCCUGCUCAAUGCAGGAAUACAAUCAAAGCAUAUCUGCCAGGUGAUUACCCAAGUUUUUCUUGAACACCUCCAGUGUUGGAGCACUCACCGAUUCCCAAGGUAACCGGUUCCACCAUCGUACUGCUGUAACAGUUAGGAAGCGUUUCUCCCCAUUCCUCAUUCUCUCCCCACAUAUUCCAAUCUCCUGGGACCCAAGCUUAACCAAGAGGGCUGCAAAGCCCUGGAAUGCAAGACCGCUAGCUAUGACUCAUGCA